UCACCAGUUGUUGGUCAUUUAAUUAGAAAAAAGUGUUUCCAUUGGAGUUUUGCUAAAUAUAUAAAUCUUGAUUUGCCUCAAAAACCACCUAAUCCAAGUGCAACUGUAGCAGGUGUUUUAUUUAGUUUAUUUAAUUCCACCAAAUUUGAUGUAAUAGUUUUAUUAUGAACAUUUCUAUCUGGGUGUUAGUCCGUCCGAGGGUACUUGAACUCACCACGGUGACGCAGCAGACAGUGCUGCACAUGCGCACUCAGACUGCUGCGGACUGGCUGAGUCGUUAGGGGGAAGCGCUGAAGAAAAUCCUGGACAUCAGUGUACCAUUUGUUUUCGGUCAACCAGGGGGGUGAAGAGCGGAGGUUAGGCUGGAGGGCACAGGGUGGGACGGUGGUCACAGUACGUCCUGUCCUGGCCCCUCUUCCCUCCAACAAGGGCCUGUGUGCUGACAGUGAAAUGACAUCACCAGGGGAGCCCUUUGUCCCCCUUUUUGGGAGCGUUGAAAUUUUGCACACAAAGGCUCUUAUCUCCACAUCUGAGUGGACGCAGCACUUUUGAAAAUCCCUAACAAGAUUAAACCGUAGUGCGAUCAGCUGUCAGUCCAAACACCAUCGCUGCUUCUCAGAACUCACAUAGGAUGUAAGCCUGGCUGUUCAAACUGAACAUGUCCACAGCUGCAGAGGGAGGGCGGGGGGCCACAGGGCAGUGCAUUCGUGUGGUGACAUUUAAGUCUUUGCAUAGAUCCAUGCUUCACUUUCAGCUUAGAUGACUAAAGAAUUCCAUUUUUAACUAUUAUUUUUUUACUUCCAGAAUUCAAAACACCAAAAAACCCAAUAAAACUCUAAUGUUAAAAUUUAAUUGAAUUGAAUUCUGUUCUGUGGUGUUUUAAAUGUAGAGUAAUUUGAUGUGUUGGGACUCAUUACUGUGCGAGAAAUCUAAUCUCGUUUUGCUGUGUCACAACUCUGACCGCAAUCGUUUCAUUUUUCUUUUCAUUCUGUGCUUUAUUUCUUUACAGGAGUGUGACCUUUGUUUUUUUGGUGGAUCUUUGUAUGUCUGUCUGAUCAUUUUCAGGUGUAAGAAAAAAAAUCGAUUUGGCGAUAUAUCGCGAUACUUUAUUUAGUAAUACUUGUAUUGAUCUAAAGUGCUGAGACGGCGAUAUUUAAUUUAUUAUUUAUGAGUGUUUUGCACUUUUUUUUCUUAUAGUGAAAAAUAUUUUGUUGAGAAAAUCAUAAAAAAUUCAGAUUUUUCUCUUUAAGAAUUUUUUUUUCUCAAUUUACCAAAAUAAAAGCACCAUGUAUGCGUAAAUGCAACUUGUAUAAGAGAUGCAGCUGCAUUGAAAAAAUGUUUUUAUUUUUAUUUUAUUUAAGUGAAUUAAUAUUGAGGUAGAGUUUUUUUCCUAAUGUUUAAAGAUUUUUAAAAAUUGUACAAUCUUUGGGAUAAAUCACGAUACGGAUUGCAUCGUAAGUCGGGAGUCACAAUACGUUCUGUAUCGCCAGACUAUUGCCAAUACACGCCCCCUAGUGGUGACAGCUGCUAAUGUUUUUACACCUUAAUCUGGAUUGAUAUUUCUUAAAUUUUUGCUAAAUUAUUUGUAAAUUAGGAUGAAGUGAUCAUUCGCUCCAUUUUGUGGAGUUCAGAAAACUUUUUCAAAGGGAUUUCAGAGAAAACCGUAUUUAUAUAUUUUGAAUUUUAAUAAUAAAUUCACAAGAAGGAACAUCAUAAAUAAAAAAUAUGGGUUUGCACAUCAGGAAACAUCUGGCUGUAUUUAAAUUAACUCACUUCUCCUAGUAACACAAACUUCAUAGUAACUUUUCAGUAAGAUGCAAAAACAUAAUCUAAGAUGAUAAAUCUUAAAUAUCUUGUUAAGUCAUUUGAUCAUAAAAACAUUUUAUUUUAGGUAAUAUAUCUCUUAUGAAACAAAGCUUUUUUUAUUUACCUACUUUUAAAAUUAUAGUUAAAAAGUUGAUAAU